rnacentral:rRNA from 1 species
CACGUAGGGGGCGAGCGUUGUCCGGAUUUAUUGGGCGUAAAGAGCUCGUAGGCGGCUCGGUAAGUCAGGUGUGAAAACUCUAGGCUCAACCUAGAGACGCCACCUGAUACUGCUGUGGCUAGAGUCCGGUAGGGGAGCAUGGAAUUCCUGGUGUAGCGGUGAAAUGCGCAGAUAUCAGGAGGAACACCGGUGGCGAAGGCGCCACUCUGGGCCGGUACUGACGCUGAGGAGCGAAAGCGUGGGGAGCAAACAGG